rnacentral:tRNA from 1 species
GCGGCUGUGGCGGAAUUGGCAGACGCGCUAGAUUCAGGUUCUAGUGGCCGCAAGGUCGUGGAGGUUCAAGUCCUCUCAGCCGCA